rnacentral:rRNA from 1 species
UACGUAGGGUGCGAGCGUUGUCCGGAAUUAUUGGGCGUAAAGAGCUUGUAGGCGGUCUGUCGCGUCUGCUGUGAAAAUCCGGGGCUCAACCCCGGACUUGCAGUGGGUACGGGCAGACUAGAGUGUGGUAGGGGAGACUGGAAUUCCUGGUGUAGCGGUGAAAUGCGUAGAUAUCGGGAGGAACACCAGUGGCGAAGGCGGCUACCUGGCCCACUCUUGACGCUGAGGCGCGAAAGCUAGGGGAGCAAACGGG